CGGGUGAGUAACACGUAGGUAAUCUACCUUCGGAUGGGGAAUAACAACCGGAAACGGUUGCUAAUACCGCAUAAUGCAGCGGCACCUAAUGGUGACAGUUGUUAAAGCGGGGGAUCGCAAGACCUCGCGUCUGAAGAGGAGCCUGCGGCGGAUUAGCUAGUUGGUAAGGUAAUGGCUUACCAAGGCGAUGAUCCGUAGCCGGCCUGAGAGGGCGGUCGGCCACACUGACACUGACAUACGGGUCAGACUCCUACGGGAGGCAGCAGUCGGGAAUUUUGGGCAAUGGGCGAAAGCCUGACCCAGCAACGCCGCGUGAAGGAUGAAAUCCCUCGGGAUGUAAACUUCGCAAGAACGGGAAGAAUAAAUCGGUGCUAACACCACCGGCGAUGACGGUACUGUUUGUAAGCUCCGGCUAACUCCGUGCCAGCAGCCGCGGUAAUACGGGGGGAGCAAGCGUUGUUCGGAUUUACUGGGCGUAAAGGGCGCGUACGCGGCCACCGCAAGUCGAUUGUGAAAUCUCCGGGCUUAACCCGGAAAGGUCAACCGAUACUGCGGGGCUAGAGUGCAGAAGGGGCAACUGGAUUCUCGGUGUAGCGGUGAAAUGCGUAGAUUUCGAGAGACAC
rnacentral:rRNA from 1 species